GGGGCGGGGGUGCUUAGACUGCAGUCGUACGAAGCCCUUCGGGGCUUAGUGGCGGACGGGUGAGUAACACGUGUUAUAACCUACCUGUGCUUGGGGGAUAACCGGCCGAAAGGCCAGCUAAUACCGCAUAAGCUCACGGCCCUGCAUGGGGCUGGGAGAAAAGGCGCUGCAAGGCGUUGAGCAGAGAGGGGUCCGCGGCCCAUUAGCUAGUUGGAGGGGUAACGGCCCACCAAGGCGACGAUGGGUAGCCGGCCUGAGAGGGCGACCGGCCACACUGGGACUGAGACACGGCCCAGACUCCUACGGGAGGCAGCAGUCGGGAAUUUUGCGCAAUGGCCGAAAGGCUGACGCAGCAACGCCGCGUGAGUGAAGAAGGCCUUCGGGUUGUAAAGCUCUGUUGUCAGGGAAGAACGGCCAGGGCAGGAAAUGGCCUUGGUUUGACGGUACCUGACGAGGAAGCCACGGCUAACUACGUGCCAGCAGCCGCGGUAAUACGUAGGUGGCAAGCGUUGUCCGGAAUGAUUGGGCGUAAAGGGCGUGUAGGCGGCUUUGUAAGUGGGUGGUGUAAACCGGCGGCUCAACCGCAGGAUUGCCAUCCAAACUGCAAAGCUUGAGUGCGGUAGAGGGCAGUGGAAUUCCCGGUGUAGCAGUGAAAUGCGUAGAGAUCGGGAGGAACACCAGUGGCGAAAGCGACUGCCUGGGCCGUAACUGACGCUGAGGCGCGAAAGCUGGGGGAGCAAACGGGAUUAGAUACCCCGGUAGUCCCAGCCGUAAACGAUGAGUGCUAGUGUAGGGGUAUCGACCCCCCUGUGCCGGAGUUAACGCAAUAAGCACUCCGGCCUGGGGGAGUACGGGCCGCA
rnacentral:rRNA from 1 species